AAUUGAAUAUCUUCUGCAUGUACAACAUAACUUUGUUUAGUGCGAGAUGUCUCUGUAAUGGCCUGCGAAUACCUGAUGUUGCUUUUCGUUUCGGUGGAUUCCUGAAUUGAAGCAUUAUGCACCGGGUGUUCUGACAAUUCUGGUCGGAACUAAGCUUAAUCUCCGGGAUGAUGAGCAAUACCUUAUAGACCAUCCUGCUGCAACACCCAUAUCUACAGCUCAGGGAGAGGAGUUGAAGAAACAGAUAGGGGCUCCUGCCUACAUCGAGUGUAGUUCAAAAACACAGCAG